AGAUAAAGAAAGUUUAUUUUUAAAUGUAAAACUUGGAAAUAUUUAUUUCAGAGGCUCCAAAGUUUGAGGACAGGCGUGUAAAAACAGAGGCUACAUGUCAGGAAUUAGGGGCUGCAUCUCAGGUAAUAGAGGCUCCAAACUUUGAGGACAUGUGUGGUACAAACAGAGGCUACAUGUCAGGAAUUAGAGGUUUCAUCUCAGGCAAUUGAGAGUCCAGUUCUGAAGGAGAGGAUCUUCUGAGAGUGGCUAAGAGGUUAGGAAGUGAUUGGUGGCAAGUGGCGAUUUUUUUAGGAGUUGAUACAACUGAACUGAAAAUUGAUGAUGAGUCUAUUGACACUGUAAAACAAGGCUACCUGAUGCUUCGCGAAUGGUUCAAAAAUUGCGACCCAGAAACACGGACACACGCAACAUUAAGUGCAGCUCUUGAAGAAGCUGAAUGUUUCGCUGCGAUGGAAUGUCUGUCAUUAGACGCAAAGUGAAUUUCCAUGUAACUGUUGUUGUUUAGCUUCAGAUUAACCUUGACCAAACAGAGUCUUUUGAUCAAACGCAUUCCAGCCAGGACCAUCAUGCCUAUUUCCAAAGAGAACCCGCAACCAUCUCGUCCAAUAUGCCCUUCUGUACAGUGAUAUCGUGUGAAUUUAGCUGCUAAUUCUAGCAGGUAUAUCAACCACAUUGUGAUCCCAUCACUGGUUUUGUUCCUUUGUUAAAAAUUCACUUUUAAAAUAAAGACAAACUUUGAAAUGUUCA